rnacentral:rRNA from 1 species
CAGUAGCCGCGGUAAUACGUAGGUGGCAAGCGUUGUCCGGAAUUAUUGGGCGUAAAGCACGCGCAGGUGGUUUAAUAAGUCUGAUGUGAAAGCCCACGGCUCAACCGUGGAGGGUCAUUGGAAACUGUUAAACUUGAGUGCAGGAGAGAAAAGUGGAAUUCCUAGUGUAGCGGUGAAAUGCGUAGAGAUUAGGAGGAACACCAGUGGCGAAGGCGGCUUUUUGGCCUGUAACUGACACUGAGGCGCGAAAGCGUGGGGAGCAAACAGGAUUAGAUACCCCAGUAGUCCCUGUCUCUUAUAC